rnacentral:ribozyme from 15 species
GGGGUGGCAAGGGCGACUGGUCCGGAAAGGGCGAUGCUGCCUGGGACGACGGAGACUGGUCAGGCAUGGUUGAAACCUCCGCCUGGGGCAAAGGAGACUGGUCCGGGAAAGGCGACUCCCCGUCCUGGGGCAAGGGC